rnacentral:rRNA from 1 species
AGCAGCCGCGGUAAUUCCAGCUCCAAUAGCGUAUAUUAAAGUUGUUGCAGUUAAAAAAGCUCGUAGUUGAAUUUCGGGGUCAGUAGAUUGGUCAUGCCACUGGUAUGUACUGGUCUCACUGAUUCCUCCUUCCUGAUGAGACGUAAUGCCAUUAAUUUGGUGUUGCGAGGAAUCUGGACUGUUACUUUGAAAAAAUUAGAGUGUUUAAAGCAGGCUAACGCUUGAAUACAUUAGCAUAGGAAUAAUGAAAUAGGACGUUUGAUUCUAUUUUGUUGGUUUCUAGGAUCGACGUAAUGAUUAAUAGGGAUAGUUGGGGGCAUUAGUAUUCAAUUGUCAGAGGUGAAAUUCUUGGAUUUAUUGAAGACUAACUAACUGCGAAAGCAUUUGCCUAAGGAUGUUUUCAUUAAUCAAGAACGAAAGUUAGGGGAUCGAAGACGAUCAGAUACCGUCGUAGUCUUAACCAUAAACUAUAGCCGACUACGGGAUCGGAUGAUGUUAAUUUUUAAUGUACUCUACG